rnacentral:rRNA from 1 species
UACGUAGGGUGCGAGCGUUAAUCGGAAUUACUGGGCGUAAAGCGUGCGCAGGCGGUUUUGUAAGUCUGUCGUGAAAUCCCCGGGCUCAACCUGGGAAUUGCGAUGGAGACUGCAAGGCUAGAAUCUGGCAGAGGGGGGUAGAAUUCCACGUGUAGCAGUGAAAUGCGUAGAGAUGUGGAGGAACACCGAUGGCGAAGGCAGCUUACUGGGCUGUAACUGACGCUGAUGCACGAAAGUGUGGGGAUCAAACAGG